UUGAUCCAGAGAUUUCCGAAUGGGGAAACCCAGCAUGAGUUAUGUCAUGUUAUCGAUAUGUGAAUACAUAGCAUAUCAGAAGGCACACCCGGAGAACUGAAACAUCUUAGUACCCGGAGGAAGAGAAAGAAAAUUCGAUUCCCUUAGUAGCGGCGAGCGAAAUGGGAAGAGCCCAAACCAACAAGCUUGCUUGUUGGGGUUGUAGGACACUCUAUACGGAGUUACAAAGGACGACAUUAGACGAAUCAUCUGGAAAGAUGAAUCAAAGAAGGUAAUAAUCCUGUAGUCGAAAAUGUUGUCUCUCUUGAGUGGAUCCUGAGUACGACGGAGCACGUGAAAUUCCGUCGGAAUCUGGGAGGACCAUCUCCUAAGGCUAAAUACUCUCUAGUGACCGAUAGUGAACCAGUACCGUGAGGGAAAGGUGAAAAGCACCCCGGAAGGGGAGUGAAAUAGAACCUGAAACCGUGUGCUUACAAGUAGUCAGAGCCCGUUAAUGGGUGAUGGCGUGCCUUUUGUAGAAUGAACCGGCGAGUUACGAUUUGAUGCAAGGUUAAGCAGUAAAUGUGGAGCCGUAGCGAAAGCGAGUCUGAAUAGGGCGUUUAGUAUUUGGUCGUAGACCCGAAACCAGGUGAUCUACCCUUGGUCAGGUUGAAGUUCAGGUAACACUGAAUGGAGGACCGAACCGACUUACGUUGAAAAGUGAGCGGAUGAACUGAGGGUAGCGGAGAAAUUCCAAUCGAACCUGGAGAUAGCUGGUUCUCUCCGAAAUAGCUUUAGGGCUAGCCUCAAGUGAUGAUUAUUGGAGGUAGAGCACUGUUUGGACGAGGGGCCCCUCUCGGGUUACCGAAUUCAGACAAACUCCGAAUGCCAAUUAAUUUAACUUGGGAGUCAGAACAUGGGUGAUAAGGUCCGUGUUCGAAAGGGAAACAGCCCAGACCACCAGCUAAGGUCCCAAAAUAUAUGUUAAGUGGAAAAGGAUGUGGCGUUGCCCAGACAACUAGGAUGUUGGCUUAGAAGCAGCCAUCAUUUAAAGAGUGCGUAAUAGCUCACUAGUCGAGUGACACUGCGCCGAAAAUGUACCGGGGCUAAACAUAUUACCGAAGCUGUGGAUUGUCCUUUGGACAAUGGUAGGAGAGCGUUCUAAGGGCGUUGAAGCAUGAUCGUAAGGACAUGUGGAGCGCUUAGAAGUGAGAAUGCCGGUGUGAGUAGCGAAAGACGGGUGAGAAUCCCGUCCACCGAUUGACUAAGGUUUCCAGAGGAAGGCUCGUCCGCUCUGGGUUAGUCGGGUCCUAAGCUGAGGCCGACAGGCGUAGGCGAUGGAUAACAGGUUGAUAUUCCUGUACCACCUAUAAUCGUUUUA
rnacentral:rRNA from 1 species